rnacentral:rRNA from 1 species
GCUAAACAGCUAGUUUAAUCUUUAAAUUAACUAAAAAAUAUACAUUUAACUUAACAACCUUAAAAUAGUAAUUAAAACAUUUUAACAAUUCUAGUAAGGGAGACUAAAAAAAUAAUAACUAAACGAUAGAAGAAGUACCGCAAGGGAAAGCUGAAAAAGAAAUGAAAUAAACCAUAUAAGCACAACAAAGCAAAGACUAAACCUUGUACCUUUUGCAUCAUGAUUUAGCCAGAACAUAAAAGCAAAGAGACCUAUAGUUUUUAACCCCGAAACCAGGUGAGCUACCCCAAGACAGCCUAAUAUGCAGGGCAAACUCGUCUCUGUGGCAAAAGAGUGAGAAGAGCUUUGGGUAGCAGUGAUAGACCUACCGAACCUGGUGAUAGCUGGUUGUCCGUGAAAUGAAUAUCAGUUCAGCCUUGUUUACCUUAAAUUAAAUAAACUUAAAAUAAGAAGAUAAAUUCAAGAGUUAGUUAAAGGGGGUACAGCCCCUGUAACUAAGGAUACAACCUUAAAAAGAGCAUAAAGAUCAAAAUUAAUAAAGACUAUUGCACUAGUGGGCCUGAAAGCAGCCACCUACGUAGAAAGCGUUAAAGCUCAAACAAAUUUAGUCUAAUAAUACUGAUAACUUUUCUUAAUGCCUUUUAACUACCGGACCAAUCCAUGCUAACAUGGAAGAGAUUAUGCUAAAAUGAGUAACAAGAAAGCAUUGACUUUCUCCUAACACAAGUGUAAAUUAGAUCGGACAAACCACUAAUAACUAACAAACCCAAUAAAAGAGGGGAUAUGAAUAAGAAACUAGGAAAGUAUCACAUAUAAAUUGUUAACCCAACACAGGAGUGUAAAUAAUGGAAAGACUUAAAGAAAAAGAAGGAACUCGGCAAACAAAGGCCUCGCCUGUUUACCAAAAACAUCGCCUCCUGAUUGUUAAAGAUAGGAGGUCCAGCCUGCCCAGUGACUACAAGUUAAACGGCCGCGGUAUUUUGACCGUGCAAAGGUAGCGCAAUCACUCGUCCUCUAAAUAGGGACCUGUAUGAAUGGCUAAACGAGGGCUAAACUGUCUCCUUUUUUCAGUCAGUGAAAUUGAUCCACCCGUGCAGAAGCGGGCAUAAGUAUACAAGACGAGAAGACCCUAUGGAGCUUUAGGCAAAGCCUCUAAUUAUGUCAAACAAGUACAAAUAAGUACAAGAACUCAAUAAGAACUAGAGACUUGCCUUCGGUUGGGGCGACCAAGGAGAACAAAAUAUCCUCCUAGUGGACUAGGAAAAUCCUAGAACUAAGAAAAAUUCUUCUAAGGCACAGAAUAUCUGACCAAACAUGAUCCGGCCAAGGCCGAUCAACGGACCUAGUUACCCUAGGGAUAACAGCGCAAUCCUCUUCAAGAGUCCCUAUCGACAAGGGGGUUUACGACCUCGAUGUUGGAUCAGGACAUCCUAAUGGUGUAGCCGCUAUUAAAGGUUCGUUUGUUCAACGAUUAACAGUCCUACGUGAUCUGAGUUCAGACCGGAGUAAUCCAGGUCAGUUUCUAUCUGUAAAGCUAUUUUUUCCUAGUACGAAAGGACCGGAAGAAGAGGGCCAAUGCUUUAGGUAAGCCCUAACCCCAAUUUAUGAAUAAAAAUAAAUAAAGCAAGGGAAAGCUGACACAAACCCUAAAUUAGGGCUA